AUGAGUUAAGUAUAAACCCCUUUACAAGUAUCAAUUGGAGGGCAAGUCUGGUGCCAGCAGCCGCGGUAAUUCCAGCUCCAAUAGCGUAUAUUAAAGUUGUUGCAGUUAAAAAGCUCGUAGUUGGAUUUCUGUUAAUAAUUUGUAUAAUAUUUUAACGAUAUUAUAUAAUAUUAACAUAAUUCAUAUUACUAUUUGAUAGUAUAUGAAGUUCUACUUUGAGAAAAUUAGAGUGCUUAAAGCAGGCAUUUGCCUUGAAUACUCCAGCAUGGAAUAAUAUAAAAGAUUUUUAUCUUUUUUAUUGGUUCUAAGAUAAAAAUAAUGAUUAAUAGGGACAGUUGGGGGCAUUUGUAUUUAACAGUCAGAGGUGAAAUUCUUAGAUUUGUUAAAGACAAACUAAUGCGAAAGCAUUUGCCAAGGAUGUUUUCAUUAGUCAAGAACGAAAGUUAGGGGAUCGAAGACGAUCAGAUACCGUCGUAGU
rnacentral:rRNA from 1 species